GACUCCGGUUGAUCCUGCCGGACCUGACUGCUAUCGGGAUGAGGCUAAGCCAUGGAAGUCGACGUGCGCCCUUGCGCACGUGGCGUACGGCUCAGUAACGCGUGGCUAACCUGCCCUCGUGACGGGGAUAACCUCGGGAAACUGAGGAUAACCCCCGAUAGGCGAGCGGCUUUGGAAGAACCGCUCACCGAAAGGGACGGAGGGAAUGGCCUUCGUCCGCGCGAGGAUGGGGCUGCGUCCCAUCAGGCAGUUGGUGG
rnacentral:rRNA from 1 species